GAUAAACGCUGGCGGCGUGCCUAAUGCAUGCAAGUCGAACGGGAGCGCCUUCGGGCGUCGACCGUGGCGGACGGGUGAGGAGCGCGUAGCUGACCUGCCCAGGUGUGGGGGAUAGGCCUCGGAAACGGGGUGUAAGACCGCAUACGCUCAUGGUGGGGACCGCCAUGAGGAAAGGCUUUCUUCGGAGAGUCGCGCCUGGAGGGGCUGCGUCCGAUUAGCUGGUUGGUGGGGUAACGGCCUACCAAGGCGGUGAUCGGUCGCUGGUCUGAGAGGACGACCAGCCACACGGGGACUGAGACACGGCCCCCGACUCCUACGGGAGGCAGCAGCAAGGAAUUUCCGCAAUGGGCGCAAGCCUGACGGAGCAAACGCCGCGUGCGGGAGGACGCCCUUCGGGUGUAAACCGCUUUUCGGGGACGAAGAUCGUGACGGUACCCCCGG
rnacentral:rRNA from 1 species